UACGGAAGGUCCGGGCGUUAUCCGGAUUUAUUGGGUUUAAAGGGAGCGUAGGCCGGAGAUUAAGCGUGUUGUGAAAUGUAGAUGCUCAACAUCUACACUGCAGCGCGAACUGGUUUCCUUGAGUACGCACAAAGUGGGCGGAAUUCGUGGUGUAGCGGUGAAAUGCUUAGAUAUCACGAAGAACUCCGAUUGCGAAGGCAGCUCACUGGAGCGCAACUGACGCUGAAGCUCGAAAGUGCGGGUAUCGAACAGG
rnacentral:rRNA from 1 species